CAAUUACUUGACGUCUCCCAACGUUGUGAUCUGGAGCGCGGCUUGUGCCUCAUGUGCUCU
rnacentral:tRNA from 1 species